rnacentral:rRNA from 1 species
UACGUAGGGUGCGAGCGUUGUCCGGAAUUAUUGGGCGUAAAGAGCUCGUAGGCGGUGUGUCGCGUCGGCCGUGAAAACCUGCAGCUUAACUGUGGGCUUGCGGUCGAUACGGGCAUCACUGGAGUUCGGCAGGGGGAGACUGGAAUUCCUGGUGUAGCGGUGAAAUGCGUAGAUAUCGAGAGGAACACCUGCGGCGAAGGCGGGUAGCUGGGCCGACACUGACGCUGAGGCGCGAAAGCCAGGGGAGCGAACGGG